GAUGAACGCUGGCGGCGUGCCUAAUACAUGCAAGUCGAGCGAACAGACGAGGAGCUUGCUCCUCUGACGUUAGCGGCGGACGGGCGAGUAACACGUGGAUAACCUACCUAUAAGACUGGGAUAACUUCGGGAAACCGGAGCUAAUACCGGAUAAUAUAUUGAACCGCAUGGUUCAAUAGUGAAAGACGGUUUUGCUGUCACUUAUAGAUGGAUCCGCGCCGCAUUAGCCAGUUGGUAAGGUAACGGCUUACCAAGGCGACGAUGCGUAGCCGACCUGAGAGGGUGAUCGGCCACACUGGAACUGAGACACGGUCCAGACUCCUACGGGAGGCAGCAGUAGGGAAUCUUCCGCAAUGGGCGAAAGCCUGACGGAGCAACGCCGCGUGAGUGAUGAAGGUCUUCGGAUCGUAAAACUCUGUUAUUAGGGAAGAACAAAUGUGUAAGUAACUAUGCACGUCUUGACGGUACCUAAUCAGAAAGCCACGGCUAACUACGUG
rnacentral:rRNA from 1 species